rnacentral:lncRNA from 1 species
UUUAAGCGGUAGUCGGAUAAGUUGCAUAUCAUAUCAUGCAUAUACAUCGAGCCUGAAUUGAUUUUAUAAUGGUCAAGCAUUAAUGUGGUGAAUUAUGUAUUGUACAUUGUGGAUAGGUGGUGAGCAAAUUACACUAGUAAAAGUACAGAGAUUUUGCUUGAAGAUUGGGAUUAGGAGUACAUCGACUCCUAGAACUGUGAGUAAACUUAUUAUCGUCUUAAUUAUCUAGAGUAGUUUUAUAAAAAAUGGGUUUAAAUGGUAAAUUACUACGUUGUAGGAGAAAUUGUGAUUUUAUAAAAUGAUUUUAUAAAUUUUUUGAAAAAUUGAAUACUGGUUUUGAAAAUAGAGUAAUUGAAGACUGCCUGCUUGUGUUAUAAAUUGUGUUUUAAAUUAUAUGGCUUAUAGCAAUAUGUGAGCAUGAAUGGCAAAGUCGGUAUUUGUAUCAAAAUUAUAUAUACUAUGUAUUCAGCCUUGGGAGCCUAGAUUGCGAUAAAUUGCCAUGUCAUGCAGAUAAGGAUUUUAUAAAUCAGGUGGUAGAUAAAAUAAUUCAUAGUCACUGCAGUGGUGGGGGUUUU